CUCUACGGCCAUACUACCCUGAACACGCCUGAUCUCGGAAGCUAAGCAGGGUCAGGCCUGGUUAGUACUUGGAUGGGAGCACACUUCUCUGAAGUCU